UGUGUAGGCGGGCAUUUAAGUCAGUGGUGAAAGACGGUCGCUCAACGAUUGCAGUGCCAUUGAUACUGGUAGACUUGAGUGUGAUUGAGGUAGCUGGAAUGGAUAGUGUAGCGGUGAAAUGCAUAGAUAUUAUCCAGAACACCGAUUGCGAAGGCAGGUUACUAAGUCAUAACUGACGCUGAGGCACGAAAGUGUGGGGAUCAAACAGGAUUAGAUACCCUCGUA
rnacentral:rRNA from 1 species